rnacentral:ncRNA from 2 species
UACACUACCGCCGCCCAAGGUGAUUCCCGGUGUCGCAGCCGGGGAUUGAAACGGGAAUCCGGUGACCCGCGCGAUCCACGAGGUCCGCGUCAUUCCGGAGCUGCCCCCGCAACGGUAGGCGAGGCAAAGGUCUGCAUGAAGCCACUGUGCCCCGAAAGGCAUGGGAAGGCGCCGACCGGCAGGGAUUCUCCCUGCGCUCGCAAGCCCGGAGACCGGCCUUCGAGGUAACACCGGA